rnacentral:lncRNA from 1 species
AUAAGGGGUACACGCCUUAUCAUGGUUUGAAAUGGGGAGGUUAAACUGAGUUCAUUUCAUGAUGCGAAAGGGAAAUGUUAUUCAGUCUUUCGGGAAAGCAUUUGCACACUUCUUAGCUAUGUGUUAACGAGCAGAUGACGUAUACCUCAGUAGGAUCCUCCAGAAGUUGUUGCGCUUGCUGGAGCAGAUGACUUAUACCUCAGUAGGAUCCUCCAGAAGUUGUUGCGCUUGCUGGCAUUUUGGGUUCCAGACCCGUCUCUUGCUCGUUUCCCUUUGUUCUUUGUCAAGUUGCAACCCUAUGCUGUUUUCCUUUCGUGCUUCAUGGCAGCAAUUGCAGUGGUGAUGCU